AUGGGUGUUACCUGUGGGGCCCUCCCUCCACUGCCAGGAGAAGGGCCUGACGGGGAUUCUGGCCCCACACAGUGCGAUGGUUGCCUGGCUUCACCACCUGCAGCUCCAUCUGAGAAGGUCCUGAUACGGGCUGGGGUCCAGGCCCACUGCCUUCUUGUCCUGAGCCCCACAGUGGCCUGUAGGCCUGCUUUGGAAGCCAUUAUCUCCUGGGCGGCCAGCCGGGCACAGCAGUGGACGUUUCUGGUCGAAGCGGUUCCGCGGUGGCUUCCCGAUGUUGCUUGCUGGCAGAACAGGCCCCGCACCGUGGAGCAUGGGGGACCCUUCCCCUCCCAGGGCCAGACUCUUGGCAGCCAGGCCAAGCCGCUGCUGGAAUGGAAUUCCCGGCGUUCCUGUUGGGGCGCAUGGCAUCAGAGUCCUACCUGCUUUGUCUCUGGCAUCAGCUGGCGAGCCAGUCACGUGGCCGUGUGCCCAGAGACCGGGGGCCCACAGGCCCGUGGCCGGGGCUGGCACCGGGCAGCCGGCUGGCCGGCAGGACCUGCCCUCCUCCCCCGCCCGGGUGACCGGCCGGGCCCAUGGACGUCAUUUUCACUUCCUGGCUUUGGAGAAGGCGCCUCCAUCCUCCGGCACCUCGGAACGUGGCCCCGUCCCAGAGCACCACCCGAGACAUCAGGAGCACAUUGCGGGCUUGGGAAGACCCUCCGGGACCUCACAGCCCAGGUCUUCCACCCUUGGCCACCUCCCCAGUGACGCCUGAAGCUCAAGGGACUGUGUCUAUCCUCAGGCCCUGCCCGUGGCUCCGGAUUGGCGCUUCCCGUCAGAGGCCUGGGCUGAGUUCUCAGACAGGUCAAGAAGGGGCGCUGACCUGGAGCCCUUGCCUGUGGCUGUCCUCGCAGUGAGCUGGGCCUCCUGCCGUCCUGGCUCUGGAGGUAGGAGGAGCCAUGGGAGGUCUGAUAGGAAGGGCGGGCCAUCGUCUGAACCAGGCCACUCCUGGUCCUCUCCAGGCCCCACACUCAGGCACAGAGGUCCUUAGAUGGGGACCUGAUGGUCUCAUGGCCAAACCUUUGCCCAGGCUGUGGCCUCCCCCGAAGCCAUGUCUCUUCUUGUCUUCCCGCCACCCUUCCAGCAAGCUCCCCCGCUUGGCCCACCUCAUCCGCCCCCUGUGCACUUGGGGCAUGGUGACCUUUGAGUCUGGUGGUGCACCCCUCAGGCUGGACAGGGCCUGAAGGAGCUGUGGUUCGUUGCAGGGUGUCUGAGUGGAAGAGGCGCCCUCAGCCUCACUUCCACAGCCUGAAGACUCUGGCCCUGGCUCUGUUACGUGCACUGCCUGUCUGCAGGGCCCAGCCUGCCUCAAGUGCUCCCUGGGGACAGAAGCCUUGCGGUAGCCCCUCCUGUCACCUAGCCACCGGUCAUCCUGGAAGGCAGCCCUAAUGCCCUGAGGCUACCUGCCGUCGCCCAGGAUGACUCAAGAUGCCACCUGGGUAAGUCUAACCCAGAACAAGAAAGGCCAAAUAAGGGAAACUGAGUCAUAUCUGCUUCUCCCAGGCAGGGCUAGGGGCCCAGGGAGAGGGCACUUGUGGUGACGACCAGGGUGGACUAGGGGCCUGUCUGCUUUUGUCUGUCUGCCACACCUUACAGAGCCAGACCUGUGGGCUGGGACCCCCCAUGGUGGGCACUGCAGGCUCUGGGGGGCUGAAGUCCUGGCUUGGGGGACCUGUGGGGGCCGGGCUGGGGCCAUUGGAAUCUGUGUGGUGGUCCCCACCUGCACUCCAGCUCUGAUGGCUGGUGUCGGGGGCCCUGGCAGCUGACCCCUUGCCUCAGUGGAGAGACCACGGCCCACGAGGGCAUGAGACCUGCCCAGAGCGUAGCCCAAAGGCCGGCCUGGAUUCCCACAGCUCCACCUGCUGGGCCAUCCUGCGCCACCCCGCUUUUAGCCUACUGGGACCAUGGGUCAGAACCCAGUAGGUGUGAGGGGACCCAGCCAGCCAGAGACUAAGUCAGGAGCCCAGAGCGCAUGCUUAGGGUGCAGCCCACCCCACAGCCUUCCCCAAGGCAUUUCCCAGGGGUACAGAUGGGGGCAGAUGCGGGGACAUUCAAGGUGGACCACCUGACUGGGAGCUGGUGAUGAGGUGAGCGACAGCCUGAGUCAGCCUGAGCUCAGCGGAGCUGGGAUGGCCUUGAUCUUCCCACUCUGGCCACUCACCACAGCUGGGAGGGUCCAAGGAGACCCUCAGCCACUGUCCCUUCAGCCCCCGCCCCACCCUGGCUGGCUCUGCCCAGACAGUCCUUAGGGACAUCUUGGUCCUGCCCACCAGUCAGGGGAUCCAGAAUUGGGGCAGGGGAACAGGACCCCCAGACCCUCUCAUACAGCUUUUGUUCUGAGGCCUUGAGGGAACAUGGGGUUUUCGAGACCCCAGGGCAGAUGAUGCCCGGACAGAGGAGGGUCAGGCUGCAUUGGGGCCCUCCCGGUCCCCACGCCUGGGUGAGUCAGCAUCUCAGUCUCCAGUUCUGGGUGGGUGGCGCCAGGUGUGAGCCUCAGUGGUCUCCUUGCUGGCUGAGGACCUGGGAUCUGCUGCAGAUGCCCCUCGGGACGGAGUAGGACACAGUGCCCAGAGAGCAAGCAGACCCCCUCCCCGACCAAUUUCUGAGAGCAAAGGCACCUAGAGCCAGAGACUCAGCACCCCCGAGCCUCAGUUUCCCCAUUACGAAGUGGGAUCCAGCCAGAGACUCAGCACCCCCGAGCCUCAGUUUCCCCACUACAAAGUGGGAUCCAGCCAGAGCCUCAGCACCCCCAAGCCUCAGUUUCCCCACUACGAAGUGGGAUUCAUUAUCUCAGCCUCACCAGGGCUGUGAGGAUUAAAUGGUCCAGCUCAGCCUGGUGCCUGCCUGGAGUAGGCGGCCUGCUCAGGAUGGGCUGUGGAAGGAGGGCUUGGGUAGACCUUCCAAGUCCAGUUGGGCACGGGGAGCUGAGAGCUGGCGUGCCGUUUAACUUGGCAGGAAGCAGAACGUUUGGACUUCACUCUGCUGCCCCCCUUGGCUGUGUGACAUAUAGGUCACGUUGCCUCUCUGGGCCUCGGUCUCCUCACCUGUAAGAGGAGUUGACAGUCGUGCCUGCCUCCUCAGCUUUUCCCCAGGCUCCCCCAGGAAGGUGGUAGCCACAGUUAGCAUUUGUUGGGGCUGACCCUGCGCCAGAUAGGCAGGGCUCAGGGAGGCCCAUCUCUUGCCACAUUCCCCUGCUAGGGGAACCCCGAGACCCCCCUCAGUGCCGUCCUCAUGCCACACUCUGUCCCAGCCCUGUGAGCCCCAAGCUAGGGCAAUGAGUGUGCCAGCCCCCGUAGGGACAGGCACUGGACCCUGGGUGGCCCCGAGGGUCUGUGCUUCCCCCCUCCAGCUGCUCUCCCCAAGAGGCCACUUCCUUCAAGGAAGGAAAGAACGAUGUCCCACUACCUCCUAUAGCAUGGUCAGCUCAGGCCAGCCUGCACAGGAGGGCCAGAGCCGGAGUCCCUGGGGAGGGAUGCCUGCCUGCCCAGUGGGAGGAGACAGCACGCCCCGGGGGCUGCUGCUCAGCCAGCCUGGGGGCCCCGAGUGCUGCUUCUGGCGGCCUGCGUGGGGAGGGAGGGCCAAGCAGGGUGGGCAUUCGCACGCCCGUGGCUUGCUGGCCUUUGAUAGAUGACAGCCCUCCUCUUAGGGUCUCCAGUGCGGAGUUCCUUAGGGACAUUACGGCCACUCCUGUCCAGAUGAGAUGAGAGGGGGCCGGCUGCCUGUGACAGCGUCGCAAAAUGCCACUGGGGCUUUCCCUCCCUCCUUCCUUCUCUCUUUCUCGUCCCUCUCUGGUUGGUGGUUUCCUGCAGGCUCCUGUCCCUGCUGGUGCUGGCCACGGUGUCCCCACUCCCAGAGGUUGGGUGUCCCAGUCCCCUGCACCCACCGCACCUGCCCGCCAGAAUCCCUGUGCCCUUGGUUCCUGUGGCCUACCAAGCCCCGAGCCCUGUUCCCCUCAGCCCUCUUUCCUCCCCUGCUCCAGGAGGUGCCUCUGGAAGCCAUGGAGUCCCAUCGGCACCAAGACCGACUGCCCUUUGGGGUGAGGUAGUAGGUUGUAUAGUUUGGGGCUCUGCCCUGCUAUGGGAUAACUAUACAAUCUACUGUCUUUCCUGAAGUGGCUGUAAUAUCUGCGGUGGACAGAGCAUCUGGAACCCUGGCUGGGAGGGGCGGGGGCAGGUUUGGGGGCAGGCUUGGCAGCAGGCGGGGGCAGGGGCUCCCUACACUAAGAAGUUUGACAGGCCUAGGUUCCUCUUGCCUUGUGACCUUGGACAGGCCCCUGAUCUCUCUGGGCCGGUUUCCUCCUCUGUAAAAUGGAGGCGGAUGAGGAUGGAAGGAGAGCAUCCAAGGCAGAGGAGAGCUGAGCCAACCCCACCCUCUGCCCCAGCCACACUGAGAGCAGCGAUGCAUGCGGCUGUUUGUUUGUCCAACCUCUGUCUCCCAACACCAGCCCCAUCAGACACAGGCUCAUGGGUGACCCUGAGCAGGAGACUGGGCCGUACCCUCCGCUGAGCACCAGAAGGCACCACGGGGCCAGGGGUGGCUGAGACGUGCGGAGGUCACGGGGCCGUGAGUGUUGACCUUGCCCACCACCCCAGGUGCCCAGCAUGUGCCCCAGCCUGGCCAGCUCAAUGGCAGGGCCUCUGCCUGUGGAGGAGGGGAGGCCGAGGCACCUUUCCCGAGCAGGAAGUGAGAGGAACAGCUCUGCACACACUGGGCCCCACAUGGGCACAACCUGAAGGCAGACGGUGGCUCCUCUGUACCUGGGGAAACUGAGGCCCAGAGAGCCGGGGCUUCCUGAGACCAGCCAGUAGCAGCUGCCCCUUCCUGGGGUGCCAUCUCCCCAUCCCUCCUGCCCUGCGCCUGCCCAGCCCUCCUGCUCCGGUGACUGAGGACCGCUGGGCAGGGGCUGGUGUUGGGCGGGGGCGGCGGGCCCUCCCGCAGUGCAAGGCCGGGCCUGGCGGGGUGAGGUAGUAGGUUGUGUGGUUUCAGGGCAGUGAUGUUGCCCCUCAGAAGAUAACUAUACAACCUACUGCCUUCCCUGAGGAGCCCAGUGACACGACCCCACGGGAGGGCUGCCCCCAACGUCGGUGACCUACAGGGGGCCUGAGCCGAAGAUGGGCGGGCAUCUGGGGCCUAGAGUCAAUAAAGCUGUUCUGACCGUGAA